ACAACUUCGUGCUGAACCGAGAUGAGCAUGGACAUGUUCAGAAUGGAAUACGCAGGUGACGUAUAGCACACAAGACGAACAUUGUUAUGAAGUGUUCAUCUGUUGAUCCUUUCUGAUUUUUGGUCUCUCGCACUAGGCCUUUGAAGGCCCAAGAGAUUAUCUACAUCUUCUAAGUGGAUUUGUAGCAGAGUUUCUUGGAUGAAGGUGUUAUGUCAGUGUUGUAAGUAUCGGUCAGUUUUUUGCAGGUUGGCGGCGAAUUUGAAUGUUAUCUAUCCGUAACAAUCCUUCAAGUGGAUAUUGUGCAACUAUAUUAACAGAGGCAUAUACUGAACAUUUGUUUUCAAUAUAUUCUGAAGAGAGGGGUGAUCCACCAGGGGAGGAGUAGAAGAAGACCAUGGAAAGAAGCUUUGGAGAUGUUCGCAACAAGGUGAUGAUAGAAGUUCUAGCGGCGACAAGGGUGGAAGGCAACUGAUCAUCACGCUGAUGCAACGUUUUUUUGUAUUUCAUGUUAAUAAACUAUUUAUGUUUUGAAUCGGAGUAAUGAACCAAGACAUGAAUGUUAUGCAUAAGAUUUAUAUUGUUGUUUGACCGCA